AACGAACGCUGGCGGCAUGCCUAACACAUGCAAGUCGAACGAUUGCCCUCGGGUGAUAGUGGCCCACGGGUGCGUAACGCGUGGGAUUCUGCCCUUAGGUUCGGCAUAACAGCUGGAAACGUCUUCUAAUACCGGAUGAUAUCGCGAUAUCAGAGGUUUAUUGCCUGAGGUUUAUGCCGCGUUGGAUAAGUUAGUUGGUGGGUUACAGGCAUACCAAGGCGGCGAUCCAUAGCUGGUCUGGGAGGAUGCUCAGCGACACUGGGACUGAGCCCCGGCCCAGACUGGGACGGAGGGGAGGAGUGGGGAAGAUUGGACACCGAGCGCAAGCUUGAUCCAGCAUGGCCGCGUGAGUGAUGAAGGCGGUAGGUUUGGAACGCUCUGUUACCAGGGAAGAUAAUGACGGUACCGGGGGAAUAGGCCCCGGCUAACUCCGU
rnacentral:rRNA from 1 species